UUCGCAAUGCCCGAAAGGGUGACGAAGCGACGCCGCGUGGGUGAGGAAGGCCUUCGGGUUGUAAAGCCCUGUCAGGAGUUAAGAAAUGUAAGUGUGCUAAUAUCGCAUUUACUUGACGAAGGCUCCAAAGGAAGUCACGGCUAACCCUGUGCCAGCAGCCGCGGUAAUACAGAGGUGGCAAGCGUUGUUCGGAAUUAUUGGGCGUAAAGAGCACGUAGGUGGGUUUGUAAGUCAGAUGUGAAAGCCUCCUGUUCAACGGGAGAAUUGCAUCUGAAACUACUGAUCUUGAGUAUAGGAGGGGAGAAUGGAACUUCUGGUGGAGCGGUGAAAUGCGUAGAUAUCAGAAGGAACGCCGGCGGCGAAAGCGAUUCUCUGGCCUAUUACUGACACUCAGUGUGCGAAAGCUAGGGGAGCAAACGGGAUUAGAUACCCCGGUAGUCCUAGCCGUAAACGAUGGGCACUAAGUAGAGGGGUUUU
rnacentral:rRNA from 2 species